GAGGGUAUAACUCAGUGGCAGAGUGUAUGCUUAGCAUGCACAACAUCCUGGGUUCAAUCCCCAGUUUCUCCA
rnacentral:tRNA from 1 species